rnacentral:lncRNA from 1 species
AAACUGUCAGGCCACUUUAAGCCACAGUACGGAAGAAGCUGUGCAGCCUGUGAGCCCCGUCCAAGGACGUUAAAAGAAGAAGUCAGGCCCAAAAGCCACGGUUUGAGCAAACCGUGCUGCCUGUAGCUCCGUCGUGGGGACGUAAAACCUGGGAGGCUGCAAACUGUGGAAGCUGUACGCACGGUGUAGCAGACUAGCGGUUAGAGGAGACCCCUCCCAUGACACAACGCAGCAGCGGGGCCCGAGCACUGAGGGAAGCUGUACCUCCUUGCAAAGGACUAGAGGUUAGAGGAGACCCCCCGCAAACAAAAACAGCAUAUUGACGCUGGGAGAG